rnacentral:rRNA from 1 species
AGGACGAACGCUGGCGGCGUGCUUAACACAUGCAAGUCGAGCGGAAAGGCCCUUCGGGGUACUCGAGCGGCGAACGGGUGAGUAACACGUGAGUAAUCUGCCCCUAGCUCUGGGAUAGCUCCGGGAAACCGGGAUUAAUACCGGAUACGACCACCUUAGACAUCUUUUGUGGUGGAAAGAAUUUCGGCUAGGGAUGAGCUCGCGGCCUAUCAGCUUGUUGGUGGGGUAACGCCUACCAAGGCGACGACGGGUAGCCGGCCUGAGAGGGCGACCGGCCACACUGGGACUGAGACACGGCCCAGACUCCUACGGGAGGCAGCAGUGGGGAAUAUUGCGCAAUGGGCGAAAGCCUGACGCAGCGACGCCGCGUGGGGGAUGAAGGCCUUCGGGUUGUAAACCGCUUUCACCAGGGGCGAAGCGAGAGUGACGGUACCUGGGGAAGAAGCGCCGGCUAACUACGUGCCAGCAGCCGC